GUACUCGCUCCAGCAGCACAUACACUGAAAUUGGAAUGAUACAGAGAAGAUUAGCACUGCC
rnacentral:snRNA from 1 species